rnacentral:lncRNA from 1 species
UGGCACCAUGGAGGGGACCCUCUGGGGGCUGGUGGCACUGCGGGGGGACCCCCUGGGGACCUGAGGGGACCCCCUGGGGACUGGUGACACCGGUUGGGGACCCACUGGGGACCCCCUGGGGACUGGUGACACCAGUAGGGGACCCCCUGGGGACUGGUGACACCGGUUGGGGACCCACUGGGGACACACUCGGGACUGGUGACACCGCGAGGGUACCCCCUGGGGACUGGUGACCCCAGUAGGGGACCCACUGGGGACCCCCUGGGGACACUAUGGGGACUGGUGACACCAGUUGGGGACCCACUGGGGACCCCCUGGGGACUGGUGACACUGUGAGGGGACCCCCUGGGGACUGGUGACCCCAGUAGGGGGCCCCCUGGGGACCGGUGACACCAGUUGGGGACCUACUGGGGACCCCCUGGGGACUGGUGACACCAGUUGGGGGCCCCCUGGGGACUGGUGACACCAGUAGGGGACCCAGUGGGGACCCCCUGGGGACUGGUGACACCAGUAGGGGACCCCCUGGGGACCAGUGACCCCAGUAGGGGACCCCCUGGGGAUUGGUGACACCAGUAGGGGACACCCUGGGGACUGGUGACACCGGUUGGGGACCCACUGGGGACACACUCGGGACUGGUGACACCGUGAGGGGACCCCCUGGGGAACCCCUGGGGACCAGUGACACCAGUUGGGGGCCCCCUGGGGAACCCCUGGGGACCGGUGACACCAGUAGGGGACCCCCUGGGGACUGGUGACACCAGUUGGGGACCCCUUGGGGACUGGUGACACCAGUUGGGGACCCCCUGGGGACCCCCUGGGGACCGGUGACACCAGUUGGGGACCCAGUGGGGACCCCCUGGGGACCAGUGACACCAGUAAGGGACCCCCUGGGGACUGGUGACACCAGUAGGGGACCCCUUGGGGACCGGUGACACCGUGAGGGGACCCACAGGGGACCAGGGACACCUGGGGGGGGGGGGACCCCCAAAAUGUCCCCUCUGUCCCCACGUCCCCCCCCCCCACAUUCACGGCUCAGGUGGUGC